rnacentral:lncRNA from 1 species
AUGCAUCACAAAGGCAAUGCUGUGGUGCUAAACCAGGAGACUUCCGCCCUUCAGAGCUCCAGGGAUGACCAUACAGGACAUGAAGCAGGUUGCAGCCUGAGCUUCUGUAUUCUCCCAGCUCACCCUGUCCUCACUUCAGCAGGCACUGGGGCUGCUUCAAACAGAACACAGAUUUGUCAUCUGUAUUUUUGGAUAAUCCAGGAAGGAAGGAACAUCAGGAGGUUUCAAACCCAAAUACCUGCCCAAAGCAUGUACAACUCUGGGAUCAGACCAGGCUACUGAGGACUUCGUUGCAGCUU